CCAGAGAAUAGUUUAUAAAAAAUAUUAAUUUUGGAAAUUAAAGACAAAAGCCUUUGCUUUUUUCCCUG
rnacentral:tRNA from 1 species